rnacentral:rRNA from 1 species
AUUGAACGCUGGCGGCAGGCCUAACACAUGCAAGUCGAACGAGUUGCGGCCGGGUGAGUAAUGUCUGGGAAACUGCCUGAUGGAGUGGGAUAACUACUGGAAACGGUAGCUAAUACCGCAUACCCUCAGAUGUGCCCAGAUGGGAUUAGCUAGUUGGUGGGGUAACGACUCACCAAGGCGACGACCCCUAGCUGGUCUGAGAGGAUGACCGUACACACUGGAACUGAGACACGGUCCAGACUCCUACGGGAGGCAGCAGUGGGGAAUAUUGCACAAUGGGCGCAAGCCUGAUACAGCCAUGCCGCGUGUAUGAAGAAGGCCUGCGGAUUGUAAAGUACUUUCAGUGGGGAGGCGUUACCCGCAGAAGAAGCACCGGCUAACUCCGUGCCAGCAGCCGCGGUAAUUC